CCUUUGUUAUUGGCCUUGUCGGGUAAAACUGCGGGACAGGUUAAACAGGUGACAAGGUGUCAGGUUUCAGCGGCUGGUUUCUUCCACACACACGAUACAGAGGCAGACAACAUACAAUCUUGGUCCAAAUUUGCUUCCUUAAUAUCAAACAUUCAACUUCCUAACAAAUAGUCCAGCCAUGGGACAGAAGUAUGACGGGUUGUCCCAUUGUAAGCUCGCUCUGGUGUUUGCCGUGGUGAUGGACGUGCUGGGUGUGACGUCCCUGCUGGUAGGCAUCUUCGCUUCCCUAGAGAUCCAGGGCGAAGACUUUGGGGAUCUGCUGGUGUACUCUGGAGUUCUGUUGGUCCUGUUUUCCAUGGCCGGCUGGGUGCUUUGGUAUAGUGGCAACAUCGAAGGUCUGCAUUUACAAAAAGACCUGAAUGGACGUUUGGGUUCUGCUAUGGACCGAUUGGCUCGCUCUGUCAGCCGGAGGAUGCGGCUCCCCAGGACGCGCAGCAGUCCCAGUUAAACAGUCGAGACAUCAGCCUGGUUUUGAUUCUUGUUGAGCCAAAUUACUUGAAACAAAAGCAUAAUUCAGGGCUUUUCUUUCUGUCAGUUUUUGAUAAAAAAGGCCUGUCAACCUUUGUUUUUAGAAACAGAAUAUGUAUGUUUUGCUUAAGUAUGUGCACAUGCACUAGUUUAUAUAGUCUUUAAUAUUAAAACUAUUGCAAUGAA